AUGCUCAAAAUUGAUCUUGCUAAAGCUUUUGAUCGUCUUGAAUGGAGUUUUGUUGUUUCCGCUCUCACUCGUAAAGGGUUGCAUGAUCAUUUCAUUAAUUUAGUUUAUGCCUGCAUUUCUUCGCCUACUUUCUCUGUUGUUAUUAAUGGUCAGCCCUCUCAUAAGUUCAAAAGUUAUCGGGGUAUUAGGCAAGGUUGUCCCAUGUCUCCUUAUUUAUUUGUCAUUGCUAUCAACGAACUUUCUAUUACUCUUAAUGAAGCGCUUGAUGCACACCAGCUUCAGGGUAUCUCCCUUGGACCAAAUUGCCCUUCUAUUCACUCUCUUCUAUUUGCUGAUGACUUGCUGGUUUGUGGGCAAGCUACUUUGCAAGAGGCUCAGGCUAUGGCUAAUCUCAUUCAGCAAUUCUGUGCUAUUUCUGGUCAAACUCCUAAUUAG
rnacentral:rRNA from 1 species